UACAGAGGUCCCGAGCGUUGUUCGGAUUCACUGGGCGUAAAGGGUGCGUAGGUGGUUGGGUAAGUUUGAUGUGAAAGCUCAGGGCUUAACCCUGAAAUGGCAUUGAAUACUACUUAACUGGAGGUUUGGAGGGGGGACUGGAAUUCUUGGUGUAGCAGUGAAAUGCGUAGAUAUCAAGAGGAACACCAGUGGCGAAGGCGAGUCCCUGGACAACACCUGACACUGAGGACGAAAGCCGGUAGGGAGCAA
rnacentral:rRNA from 1 species